AUACGGAGGGUGCAAGCGUUAUCCGGAUUCACUGGGUUUAAAGGGUGCGUAGGCGGGCAUAUAAGUCAGUGGUGAAAUCCCCGAGCUUAACUUGGGAACUGCCGUUGAUACUAUGUGUCUUGAAUAUCGCGGAGGUAAGCGGAAUAUGUCAUGUAGCGGUGAAAUGCAUAGAUAUGACAUAGAACACCGAUUGCGAAGGCAGCUUACUACACGAUCAUUGACGCUGAGGCACGAAAGCGUGGGGAGCAAACAGGAUUAGAUACCCUGGUAGUCCACGCCCUAAACGAUGGAUACUCGACAUACGCGAUAUACUGUGUGUGUCUGAGCGAAAGCAUUAAGUAUCCCACCUGGGAAGUACGACCGCAAGGUUGAA
rnacentral:rRNA from 1 species